CACUUUCGCUUUUGACGCUGUUGUUCUGCGCAUGCGCCAAUCAGAGCAAGCCUUGAAUCGUCGCAAGUGCCCUCUGUCCAAGUAGUUAUUCUCAUCCUCCCCUCCUCAGAGACGCCAUGGAGGUGAUGAGAAUAAUUUUGUGUGGAGUCUUAACGACCUGCGUGUAUGCAUCUGGAGUUGCAGAUGUGGUUCUGUCCUGCGAGUUCAUGGAAGACUCAGUGGGACCGCACGUGAGCUCCACCUUCCCCAGUAGUCUGGCCACACUCAUCUUGAGAGACGUUUUUGUUGAUUCCCACGAAUCCCUUGAAGUUCUAUCUCCAUUUGUCCCGCUGGCUAACCCGGAUCCACGUGCCAUUAUGUUCGAGUCCAACGUGUCGUCGUUCAAGAUUCCCAACAUCCACGUUGUACUCCACGCGGACUGCAACGAGCAGGAGGUGAUAUGCAAAAUAAGCAAGUAUGCCUUGAAGGAAAGGUCGGGAUCGGACUAUUUUCUGGUGUCCAUCGAUGUGAAAGACGGGGCUUUCGGCACUUUGUUGAUUCUACGUGCCGUGCCGCCGGCCGAUGAUCAAUCGAGUCAGAUGCACAUGGAACUGGGCCUGCCCUUGAGUCAGACUGGAACAUUGCUGACUGAAGUGUCAUUCCUGGUGUUUUCUGCCGUCAACUCUGUGUCGGCGCCCCUGAGAGGCGCCGGCCUCCUCAGCUGCGGCUUCAACCAUCGGGACAUGGCGCCCGAUGAGGAAAUGCACAUCGAGUGGCGUCAACAAUAUCGAGGACUAGGACAGAAAAUCAUAAAAAUGGCGGCGAGGUUGAACGAUACGCAAGGAGGUGCCGCUGAGGUGCGUCACUGGAGCAAGGACUCCAGCAUGGAUGCUAGCCAGGUUGUGAGCGAGGGGAACGCCUCAGUGACCUUGAGCAACUUAAAAGUUACAGAUGAAGGCGCCUAUAUCUGCUCCGUCGCUAUCGGCCCUUUCUCUGGCCAGCAGGUGAUCAAGCUGCAGGUGCUUCAGGCACCAAGUGUUUCACUUUCGGAGGAGGAGAAGCUAGUUUUAAAAGGAAAUACAGCACAGACCCUAAGCUGCCAUUGUAGAAAAUACUACCCUCUAGAGGCUAAGGUGGAGUGGCUUUCACACUCGCCGACGGACGAGGAGCCCGCCAUCCUCGCCGAUCAGGGCUCGAUGUCCAGCCACCAGAAGCAUAGCGACGGCACCUACUCGCUCUCAUCCCACCUGGUGGUGCCCACCGACGUGGCCCCGGGAACCCGAAUCACCUGCAGGGUGUCCCACGUGGCCCUGGACGCUCCGCUUUCCGUCAGCGUGCUGGUCGAACACCCGGAAGCAGAUGACUACUGGUGGGUGUUGUCAUUGUUGGUCAUCACUGUGGUGUUCUUCUACCAGCUCAUCAACUAGAAACACGGCAUUUAUUUAUGAACUGGCUUCAAUUCAAACGGAUUAUUUGCUGACAUUCUGUUCACUGUGUACGUUUCAUUCCAACAACAAUAAUCUCAUUUCCGUCAACAUGAGGCUUUUAGCCUAGACUUGGAACAGUAGUGGCCAUGAUUUGUUAAUCUUCAAUAAUAGAACACACACUACUUCCUCCCCGCUCACGUCAUCAGUACGCGCUCCCAUCUAUGCCACAAACACAACAGAUUAGCAAACAAACUUAACAUUAUUAUUAUUAUUGUCUAAUGUUACCACAUAAAUUAUCUUUGACCUAAAUGAAUAAUUUUUAGCAGAGUACUACAAAAUAGCUUUAAAUGACAAAAAACUGUAAAUAUAUUAAUUUAUUU